CUAGCGUUGGCUUCUCCAGCUUACCAAGACUACUCCCUAAGCAAUGCCAAAUGCCUGAAAUUGUGUCCUUAUACCCCAAUGCUUAAAUGUUUUUCUCUACCUGCCAAGACUGAUGAAGUCAAGGAAGUACCUGAGAUCGAAUCAUUGCACAUCCUAUGCCCCAUUUUCUCCUUAAUGGGAAAUGGAAGUGGGUUGUACUAAAAUUUGCAUCUAUACAAUGUAAAGAGCAAUUGCAGCUGCCUGGGGACCAAGGAAAAAAUAUGCCCAAAGCUGUAAGAAAUCUUCUGAAGAUGGCCGAGUUCUUACUGAUACCAAAUGUUUUUAAAUGUUUUUAUUAACCUGCAAUUUUAAUAAAAUGGAUAUUUCCCUUUUUAUCA